UACGAAGGGUGCAAGCGUUAAUCGGAAUUACUGGGCGUAAAGCGUGCGUAGGCGGUCUUUUAAGUCCGUUGUGAAAGCCCUGGGCUCAACCUGGGAAUGGCAGUGGAUACUGAGAGGCUGGAGUGCGGUAGAGGAGGGUGGAAUUCCCGGUGUAGCGGUGAAAUGCGUAGAGAUCGGGAGGAACAUCAGUGGCGAAGGCGGCCCUCUGGACCAGCACUGACGCUGAGGGACGAAAGCGUGGGGAGCAAACAGG
rnacentral:rRNA from 1 species